rnacentral:rRNA from 1 species
UCUUGUCUCGGAGACAUUAACAGAAUAACAUCAAGCAAUCCCAAAUCCUGGGAAGGCGUGGGGUAGCCGCCUAGUGAAUUCAGCCCCCGGGUCCGGGAGGGGGAGGGGGCGGGGGGUCUACAGUCGUGGCGACGGGAAGCACGACCGGCGGCGCCGGCGGCAAAGACAGCCCGUCGCCUAGGCGGCCUCCGCCCCCCUACUGCCAAACGGCGAUUUCCAAUCCACACUCUCUGCGUACACGACCCUGUUGCUUCCCCGGGAGCCAUCGCGUCCCCGGGGGAGGUCCACGAGCAAACUAUGCGGCCCAACCCACCCGCGGCCCCUCCGUCUGACGGCCAUCUGGCCAAGGAAGAAGGAACGAGCGAGCACAGCGAAUAAAUGUAGGAAAAGAAUAAAAACUUUCAACAACGGAUCUCUUGGUUCCCGCAUCGAUGAAGAACGCAGCGAAAUGCGAUAAGUAAUGUGAAUUGCAGAAUUCAGUGAAUCAUCGAAUCUUUGAACGCACAUUGCGCCCCCCGGCAUUCCGGGGGGCAUGCCUGUCCGAGCGUCUCUUGGAAGAAAACUCGCGCCGGUGAGGGGCGCGGUCGUGGCGGCGGUGGCGAGCCCAGGGAGGCGGGCACCGCGCUGGAAUCCAUGGGCGUCUGCCUGCCGCGUGGCGGAGCGUGAUGAGACACGUCGCUCGCUCGCGGCGAGGCAGCCAGCCCCAGGCCCGCCCGUCGGGCUGGGUACGAGCACCUUAACCCCAAACUCCUCGGAUCAGGUAGGGAUACCCGCUGAACUUAACAUAAAAAAGGG